UAUGUAUGUAUGUAUGUAUGUAUGCAUGCAUGUAUGUAUGUGAAGGAGAAGCAUUGCGUGGGUGUUCCUGGUGAGUCUCUGAUAUUAGUAGGAGAAAAAGAGGAAGUAAUGCACAAACCGAAAACUUAAACCCGACUGCUUGCAACAGAGUAAACUCUACUCAAGGUGUUAAGUGGCGAUGUUAACGCAGACAACAGGUUAAGUUUUCCACCCAAGAACUCAGAAAGAAAAGCGUAGAAACAGGUACCGCAAGACAUCUUGCUCGACGCGCUGACAAUUCCUUAAAUCUACUGCCUUAAUGUAUCGAUUCCAAAAAGGAUCAAGGGUAAAGUUGACCUCUACGUGAUGUGAACUCAGAGGGCAGAGAACCGGAGCAAAUACCGCAAGAUCCUCUCCUCCAACGACUCUGCUAUUACGUAGCCUAAGAUUUCGAAAAUUCGGGCUCGUAACUAAGACACUGAAAGUUAGUGACUCCUAGUCACAGAGUUUAAAUGUUUAGAAUUAUAGAUGUUACUUGGAAUUGUCAGGCAGCUUCCUUAUUCAGCUCCUUUCUUCCCUUUUUUUUUUCUUUUCUAUUAUUGAAUACGGUAAAAAGUUCUUCCACAUAAACAUGGUGACAGAAAUUGAAUUUGCACUUGUAUAGCAUAUGUGCUUUUAGUAAGGUACUCCAUUAAUUAUGCAACCCCAAAUUUUGUCAGUUCAACUUAUUAGAAUUUUUAUUUUGUAAAAAAUCUGUUGUAAUGUAUUGCUGCUUUCUUCCCGUGAAAGAUUGCUUAAGUUUAACACGGCAAUAAUUGGGUUGUCAGCCCAAUGUUGUUUUUCAAUUUUAGCUGGGGAAUGCAGUUAUUGAUUUACACAUUCCAGAUAAACUUUACAAAACUAAAUCUUUUGUAUUUUGACUAAAAAAAUGUGGUAGAAAAAAUAUACUAUGGUUCUCAAAACAUUCAACAUCAUACCUAGCUACACGGUCACCUCAAAGUUUUAGUUGAUACGUAAGUGCAUUCAUUUUACUUUAAACUUUCAAAACAUAUAUUGGCACACUGCAGUUAUAUAUAUGAUAGAAAAUCCUUUAGUUUAGUUGAAAGUUCAAAAGGAUGUUUUGAUAGAAAUAAUACAAUUUCGUCACGCAAUUCAAAAAACUAAACCACACUUUUAUAUUCGAAAACCAGCGUUCUUCAGUAUUCGGCAGUAAAGUUGCAUAAUGACUUCCCAUAUCUCUAUUUGAUAAAAAUAACCAGUUUUACAGCAACAUUUAUUACUAAUUUUGGAUCUUACUGCAUAUGUUUCACUGCUUGUAACCGACGAUGAAGACAGUGGAUACUUUGAACGCUUUGAUUUUAUUUUUUAUUUUUAUUCUUGCUUGUGAACUGGACAAUUUCCCUAGUAUGGUUGUAACUCCAUCAGUGUAAAUAACUGGAUUCAGUUUACACAAUAUUUAAUUUUUCUUCAAUAAAUUAUGUCUUCAUUACUAUCGUCAUAA
rnacentral:lncRNA from 1 species